GAAUUCGCCCUUAGAGUUUGAUCCUGGCUCAGGACGAACGCUGGCGGCGCGCCUAACACAUGCAAGUCGAACGAGCGAGAGAGAGCUUGCUUUCUCGAGCGAGUGGCGAACGGGUGAGUAACGCGUGAGGAACCUGCCUCAAAGAGGGGGACAACAGUUGGAAACGACUGCUAAUACCGCAUAAGCCCACGGUGCCGCAUGGCACAGAGGGAAAAGGAGUAAUCCGCUUUGAGAUGGCCUCGCGUCCGAUUAGCUAGUUGGUGAGGUAAUGGCCCACCAAGGCGACGAUCGGUAGCCGGACUGAGAGGUUGAACGGCCACAUUGGGACUGAGACACGGCCCAGACUCCUACGGGAGGCAGCAGUGGGGAAUAUUGCACAAUGGGGGAAACCCUGAUGCAGCGACGCCGCGUGGAGGAAGAGGGUCUUCGGAUUGUAAACUCCUGUUGUUGGGGAAGAUAAUGACGGUACCCAACAAGGAAGUGACGGCUAACUACGUGCCAGCAGCCGCGGUAAAACGUAGGUCACAAGCGUUGUCCGGAAUUACUGGGUGUAAAGGGAGCGCAGGCGGGAAGACAAGUUGGAAGUGAAAUCUAUGGGCUCAACCCAUAAACUGCUUUCAAAACUGUUUUUCUUGAGUAGUGCAGAGGUAGGCGGAAUUCCCGGUGUAGCGGUGGAAUGCGUAGAUAUCGGGAGGAACACCAGUGGCGAAGGCGGCCUACUGGGCACCAACUGACGCUGAGGCUCGAAAGUGUGGGUAGCAAACAGGAUUAGACACCCUGGUAGUCCACACCGUAAACGAUGAUUAUUAGGUGUGGGAGGGAUUGACCCUUUCAGUCCCGCAGUUAACACAAUAAGUAAUCCACCUGGGGAGUACGACCGCAAGGUUGAAACUCAAAGGAAUUGACGGGGGCCCGCACAAGCAGUGGAGUAUGUGGUUUAAUUCGACGCAACGCGAAGAACCUUACCAAGUCUUGACAUCCCUUGACAGGCAUAGAAGUAUGUUUUCUCUUCGGAGCAAGGAGACAGGUGGUGCAUGGUUGUCGUCAGCUCGUGUCGUGAGAUGUUGGGUUAAGUCCCGCAACGAGCGCAACCCUUAUGGUCAGUUACUACGCAAGAGGACUCUGGCCAGACUGCCGUUGACAAAACGGAGGAAGGUGGGGAUGACGUCAAAUCAUCAUGCCCUUUAUGACUUGGGCUACACACGUACUACAAUGGCGUUAAACAAAGAGAAGCAAGACCGCGAGGUGGAGCAAAACUCAGAAACAACGUCCCAGUUCGGACUGCAGGCUGCAACUCGCCUGCACGAAGUCGGAAUUGCUAGUAAUCGUGGAUCAGCAUGCCACGGUGAAUACGUUCCCGGGCCUUGCACUCACACGCCCGUCA
rnacentral:rRNA from 1 species